AGAACGAAAGGGAUGAUGGGUGAACGAUGAAGAACUAAUCUUAUUUUUCAAAAAUUUGAAUGAAAUAAAUUUCAAAUUAAACAAAAAUAGGAUUAGUCUGCCCAUUUCCAUAAAUCGCUUUUCUGUGUGUAUCUCUAAUGGUAUGCGCACAAUUAUUGAUCGAUAUGCACAGUUUUUUUUGUAUGCGAUCGCGAUUAUGAACGAGUAAAUAAUUAGGUAUGGCUAAUCCUUCCAACGAUAAUUGGGAGGAUUUUUUU
rnacentral:sRNA from 1 species